rnacentral:rRNA from 2 species
UACGUAGGGUGCAAGCGUUGUCCGGAAUUAUUGGGCGUAAAGAGCUUGUAGGCGGUUUGUCGCGUCUGCUGUGAAAUUUCGGGGCUCAACCCCGAACUUGCAGUGGGUACGGGCAGACUAGAGUGUGGUAGGGGAGACUGGAAUUCCUGGUGUAGCGGUGAAAUGCGCAGAUAUCAGGAGGAACACCGAUGGCGAAGGCAGGUCUCUGGGCCAUAACUGACGCUGAGAAGCGAAAGCAUGGGGAGCGAACAGG